UCCCCUUACCUAAGAAAGAAAGAUAAAGAAGGAAAGAGAAAAUCCUGAGUCUAAGUUUCUAUGCCUUGUUUUCUCACUGAAUGAGAUCACUAAUAACUUAUAACCAUUCACUUUAUAAUGACAAGCAUCUAUUACCCAAGAGAGCAACCAAACCUACCCACCCAAACCUUCGGGAAACGACGACAGUCUCUUCAUAUUGCUUCUUGCUGAUUUGGGGCAUAGAAUUUCUUUUUGGGGGCCCAAAGGAAACUGGGAAAAAUGGCUAAGAAAGUUAGUGGGAACACUUGUUGUCCAGCCUCUAAAUGUUGAGAACUUGCAGGCUUAACUGAAGUCCUGUUGUAACAGUCUUAAAGGCUGCACCGUUUGGAAUCAACAGUUCUUUGAAGCUGUUGUGGAAGGAAGCUUCGAUGGAGCAGCCUCGGAAGCAGUCUGAGGUUGGAUCCCGCAGGAUGCCAGAGCAGGAGAAGAAAAACUCCAGGUUGAUAAAAGUAAGAUCUGAUAGGGGGAGACUUCCUGAAGAUCUUGGCUGCAGACAUAGGAAAGAAAUCAAGAAGACCAAACAGGACAGGCCUGCUCCUGGCAGCACCCCUCUUCUACUUCAAAGAGCACCUAAGGCUUCAUAGUGGCAAGCUAGCCGCUGGGUGAGAAAAUGUCCUUCGGUCCACUACAGGCAGAAUACUGUCCAAACUGGACAAAAGGCAUGUGGGAAAAUUGACUGCUGAGCUUUGCAAGGACAAAGAAGAAUUCCUGCCUUACAAAAAGGUCUGUCAAAUAUUCUGAGCCAGAAGGCUGAAGACGAUGCUCCAAGGUUAUAGAAGAACUUUCAGGCAGCCCAAUAUCUCCGUCAUUUCUGUAUGUUUGGAAGCUGCUUGCCUGCACUUCCUACAUAUUUAGGUAAUAUUUACUCCUUCUUAAGUCUCUGAUGAGGUUGAAGACUAGAUAGGGAUAGUCUCCCAGCUAAAUUUAAAUUGUUUAGGAUGAUGGAAAUUGAUAGAUGGUAAGAUACUUUAUCCAAGAGUGCCAAAUACACAGAUGUAAAUCUUACCUGAUAAUGUUCAUAACUGUUAUUAUUACAUCUUGUAGAACUCUGCUGGAUAAGGUUGAAGUCUGGUGCAUCUGGAGAGCCAAACUGAUCUCAGCCCAUUAAGAUGGACUCCCUCUUCUCAGCAGGGUUCUGUGCCAAUCCCCCCUGAUGUGGGUAAGCCCAGGUCUUGUACAGAGCAUCACAUAGCCCUCAGAGAAGUACCACAGGCUCCGCCCUUUCCUGAUGAGAGGCCGAGUUCAGCUAGCACCUGCGGAUUCCUGGAGAUGCCCACCCGAUGCUAAUAGUUGCCUUGGCGUCUUGACUUUCCAAAUGACCUUUGACUUUACCUAAAGAUUUUUCCCACCCAUAGGAUGACUAAGUACUUUAGUGUCCUCAUGCUGGGACAGUGCUACUGCGUGUGAACGAGGCGCUGUAGCACUACAUGUAAGCCAUGUCUCCCUGGCCCUCUGACCCCACUGAAUCAAACCCAUGUAUCCCCGGAACCCCUCCCACGGCGCAGGGUUUAUAAAUCCCGGCUUUGAAAUAAACACGUUGAGCGUGCUUGCA